GACGAACGCUGGCGGCGUGCUUAACACAUGCAAGUCGAACGGAAAGGCCUCAGCUUGCUGGGGUACUCGAGUGGCGAACGGGUGAGUAACACGUGGGUGAUCUGCCUUGCACUCUGGGAUAAGCUUGGGAAACUGGGUCUAAUACCGGAUAUGAACUGCCUUUAGUGUGGUGGUUGGAAAGUUUUUUCGGUGCAAGAUGAGCUCGCGGCCUAUCAGCUUGUUGGUGGGUUGAUGGCCUACCAAGGCGUCGACGGGUAGCCGGCCUGAGAGGGUGUACGGCCACAUUGGGACUGAGAUACGGCCCAGACUCCUACGGGAGGCAGCAGUGGGGAAUAUUGCACAAUGGGCGGAAGCCUGAUGCAGCGACGCCGCGUGGGGGAUGACGGCCUUCGGGUUGUAAACUCCUUUCGACAGGGACGAAGCUUUUUGUGACGGUACCUGUAGAAGAAGCACCGGCUAACUACGUG
rnacentral:rRNA from 1 species